UACGUAGGGUGCAAGCGUUGUCCGGAAUUAUUGGGCGUAAAGGGCUCGUAGGCGGUCCGUCACGUCGGGAGUGAAAACUCAGGGCUCAACCCUGAGCGUACUUCCGAUACGGGCGGACUAGAGGUAUGCAGGGGAGAACGGAAUUCCUGGUGUAGCGGUGGAAUGCGCAGAUAUCAGGAGGAACACCGGUGGCGAAGGCGGUUCUCUGGGCAUUACCUGACGCUGAGGAGCGAAAGCAUGGGGAGCGAACAGG
rnacentral:rRNA from 1 species